rnacentral:rRNA from 1 species
GCUUCCGUAACAUUGGAUAUAUGACAUACUUGUACUGAUUGAGAUUUUAACACGAAGUGAGUGGCGAACGGGUGAGUAACACGUGGGUAACCUGCCCAGAAGUAGGGGAUAACACCUGGAAACAGAUGCUAAUACCGUAUAACAGAGAAAACCGCAUGGUUUUCUUUUAAAAGAUGGCUCUGCUAUCACUUCUGGAUGGACCCGCGGCGUAUUAGCUAGUUGGUGAGGUAAAGGCUCACCAAGGCAGUGAUACGUAGCCGACCUGAGAGGGUAAUCGGCCACAUUGGGACUGAGACACGGCCCAGACUCCUACGGGAGGCAGCAGUAGGGAAUCUUCCACAAUGGACGCAAGUCUGAUGGAGCAACGCCGCGUGAGUGAAGAAGGGUUUCGGCUCGUAAAGCUCUGUUGUUAAAGAAGAACGUGGGUAAGAGUAACUGUUUACCCAGUGACGGUAUUUAACCAGAAAGCCACGGCUAACUACGUGCCAGCAGCCGCGGUAAUACGUAGGUGGCAAGCGUUAUCCGGAUUUAUUGGGCGUAAAGCGAGCGCAGGCGGUCUUUUAAGUCUAAUGUGAAAGCCUUCGGCUCAACCGAAGAAGUGCAUUGGAAACUGGGAGACUUGAGUGCAGAAGAGGACAGUGGAACUCCAUGUGUAGCGGUGAAAUGCGUAGAUAUAUGGAAGAACACCAGUGGCGAAGGCGGCUGUCUGGUCUGCAACUGACGCUGAGGCUCGAAAGCAUGGGUAGCGAACAGGAUUAGAUACCCUGGUAGUCCAUGCCGUAAACGAUGAUUACUAAGGUGUUGGAGGGUUUCCGCCCUUCAGUGCUGCAUCUAACGCAUUAAGUAAUCCGCCUGGGGAGUACGACCACAAGGUUGAAACUCAAAGGAUUGACGGGGGCCCGCACAGCCGGUGGAGCAUGUGGUUAAUUCGAAGCUACCCCGAAAACCUUA